rnacentral:rRNA from 1 species
AGCGAACGCUGGCGGCAGGCCUAACACAUGCAAGUCGAGCGCCCAGCAAUGGGAACGGCAGACGGGUGAGUAACGCGUGGGGAUGUGCCCAUUGGUGCGGAAUAACCCAGGGAAACUUGGAUGAAUACCGCAUGUGCCCUUCGGGGGAAAGAUUUAUCGCCAUUGGAUCAACCCGCGUCUGAUUAGCUAGUUGGUGAGGUAAAGGCUCACCAAGGCGACGAUCAGUAGUUGGUCUGAGAGGAUGAUCAGCCACACUGGGACUGAGACACGGCCCAGACUCCUACGGGAGGCAGCAGUGGGGAAUAUUGGACAAUGGCGCAAGCCUGAUCCAGCCAUGCCGCGUGAGUGAUGAAGGCCUUAGGGUUGUAAAGCUCUUUCGCCGGUGAAGAUAAUGACGGUAACCGGAGAAGAAGCCCCGGCUAACUUCGUGCCAGCAGCCGCGGUAA